UACGUAGGGUGCAAGCGUUGUCCGGAAUUAUUGGGCGAAAGAGCUCGUAGGCGGUCUGUCGCGUCUGCUGUGAAAACUCAGGGCUUAACCCUGAGCUUGCAGUGGGUACGGGCAGACUAGAGUGCGGUAGGGGGAGACUGGAAUUCCUGGUGUAGCGGUGAAAUGCGCAGAUAUCAGGAGGAACACCGGUGGCGAAGGCGGGUCUCUGGGCCGUAACUGACGCUGGAGGAGCGAAAGCAUGGGGAGCGAACAGG
rnacentral:rRNA from 1 species